AGAAGCUGCAGAUGUCGUGUGGAGGAGGGAGGGCUUGAUCCUCUGUGGAACCUACAUGGAGUCCUUCCCUCAGGAAGCACAUGAAGGCUAUAUCUACUUUAGGAUUGUGCACUGAUCAGCCGUGGCGCAGAAGCUGCAGAUGUUGUGUGGAGGAGGGAGGGCUUGAUCCUCUGUGGAACCUACAUGGAGUCUUUCCCUUGGGAGACACAUGAAAGCUGUAUCUACUGUAAGUCGAGGCCAAAUCCCAGAGCUUUACUGGCAGAGCAAUGCACAGCUUACCAUUCUACACAAUUAAACAGUGCCCUGUCCUUCAAGUCUCCAAUAGAGACACACCUCCACAGCUGCCUAUAUGGAGCCAUAUGAUUCAUCAGCCUCGCCAUCCUCCUCAAGAGCUUUUCUGAUGAGCUCUUGAGCUCUGUCUUUGGCAGUUGUUGAGUACUGGCAUAAUGGGGUUUUGGAUGAAUGUAUUUGAUUAUUUCUUUCAUCUUUCUCUGACUGUCUUGGAGAUCAGUCUUAAGAGCUAAUGGAAAAAAAAAACUAUGAGUGUGUGAAUAUGAGUGAGUCAUCACCAAGUCUGGGAAUGUGCUAUAAGCCCCAAAAGGUCAGGGUCAAUGACAUGUGAACUCAGUUUGUUCUAUGUGUGUAAUUAAAAAAAAUAGUUUAUUUCAAAUUUGUAUCCCAUUUUCUCCCCAAUUUACUAUCACUGUUGAUGCUCCAACACUGGGGUGAGGGUGAAGACUAGCACACACCACCAAUGAUGCAGCAUUGUCGAGUAGAAUCACAGCGCACUCGGAGGAAAGCACAACAACUCGGUUCUGAUACAUCAGCUCACAGACGCAGCCUUGUGAUGGUCGACAUCAACCUUUGGAGUGAUGUGGGUACAGAGCAUCAUCCACCCACCCAGAGAGAGCAAAACGAAUUGAGCUCUCUUAGGGCUCUGGCAGCUGAUGGCAAGCUGCAUGACCAGGAUUCAAAUGAGCAAUCUCCUGAUCAUAGUGGCAACGCCUUAGUCCGCUCCUUGUGUGUAAUUUUUAAUGCAAACGAAUUACAUCAUGUAUUCAAUAGAUAUUGUAGUUCAUAGUAAAAAGCUCCUUUAUUUGGGUUAAUAGAACACUGUGCAUUCAUACUUAGAUACAAACAUAACUAAUGUAUGUCAUACCAGAAUCAACACCCACAGUUACUCAAAAAUAUGAAGCUAUUAAGACGCAAAUUAAGCGCAAUUAAUUUGGUGUGUGCUCUCUUAGGGCUCUGGCAGCUGAUGGCAAGCUGCAUGACCAGGAUUCUAACCAGUAAUCUUCGAUCAUAGUGGCAACGCCUUAGUUUGCAGUUGUGUGUCAUUUUUAAUGCAAACAAAUUACACUGCGACUUCAAUAGAUAAUUUAGUGUUUUGUGAAAAACGAAUUUAUUUGGGCUCAUAGAACACUAUGCAUUAAUAUUUAGAUACAAUACAUAACUUAUAUAUGCAGCACCCACAGCUUCUCAAAAAUAUGAAGCUAUUAGGACUGUCAAAUAGCAUAAUUAAUUUGGAGACAAAUUAAUGAACUAAAAAACAAUAAUAGAUCAAUUUUUCACCUGGAAGUAAAAUAAUCAUUUACUGUAACCCUGAGAAUGUAGACAAGCUUGUUUGUCUCAGUAACUUGUUGAGAGAGGUGUAAGAAGUCAUAAAUUGUCAUUAUGAGCCAAGGUCCGAUUUAAACCCGACCUUUUAUUAGUAAGUAUAACGUUAAAACUAAGCUUUUUAUGAAUAUUUUGGGCUGUUUGAAUGAGCUAAAUCUGUUGAGAAUGAUGUUAAUUAACACUGCAACACUGAAGAAGCACAGGCCUAUUAUUUAAGAGACCUGCUUAUUAAGAACAGCUGCACACAGCACUGCAAGUCAAAUGUGUAAUGCAGACAAGUGUAGGAGCUCACGUGUGUGAUUUGUGCUACUUUUUUUUAAAAACACUAUUUGAUUUUGUUACUUUGCUUUAUUUUGAUUAUUACACCAUAAUUUUAUAUAAAAUAAAAAUAGCUUUAAAAAACAGACGACACAGACCAUUUUCUUGAGCUCGACCUGGCCCGAGUUCGGGUCGGGCUCGGACAGAGAAUCUAAACUCUAGUAAGAAGCAAGGAAUAGACCAAUUGUGAUAAAUAAAAUAAUAAAAGUGAUUUUGAUUGCCACCACUGAUAUAAAUAUAAUUUCAAUUUGCCAAUUUAACAUUGAUCAUUUUAUUUACAAUUAAAUAUCCAUUAGUAAAAUCUUAGUCUUGAGAAGCGACAUCUCAACAGCACUACUCAGCCCACUUAAUGGCUUAAUUUCUCACCUGGAAGUGACAUAAUCAUUUACUGUAACUCUGAGAAUGGAGACGAGCUUGUUUGUCUCAGUAACUGGUUUAAGUAAAAGGUUUAAGAAACAAGAAAUAGAUUCAUUGUUUCUCUGAAACAUUAGUACAUUAGGAGAUGAAGGUGGAAUAUGGAGCUAGUGUUCAUUUCCACUAAAAUUCAUUCAUUAAUACAAUUUCUUAUUAAGUGAUUGAGAACACUAAUAUACAUUAUAAAAAUGUGUUAUUUUUUAACAAAAUUAUUUACUGUAACUCUGAGAAUGUAGACACAUCAGUUCUGUCACUGUCUGUCUGUCUGCCAAAAAACUCAAGUGCUCUCACAAAAGACUCCAUUUCCCAGGAUACACCUGCUUCUAACCUCCCAGAUGUUCCUGAACACGUGACACCUCUACGUUCUAGCUCGCUGGCUUUCUGAUUAGUUCAUGUGUCUUCCCCAGUAUAAAUACCCCCCGUUUUUAAUUCCUAUUUGCCUGGCAUUAAAUCUAUUUCAUGGCUCUUUUACCUUGUGGUUCUUAUGUUUAUUGGUUGUUACCUAAAUUUUUUUGCUUUUCCGACUACCCCUUUUUGCCUAGCCCUUUAUUGUUUGUUUGUUUGUUUACUUGUUGCCUAUUGUUUUGCACGUUAGACUACCUUUUUGCCUUACCCCAUUGAUUGUUUCUUUUUUUUUCCGAUUUCCUGUGUAUGACCUCAUUGCCUGCUCACCCUGGUAUAUUGUUUAUUCAUACUGUCCUUUGGUUAUUUAUCCUGCCUGUCCCUGACUAUUCUCAUAAGCCUAAUUCCCUGUUUAAUAAAUUGUGUGUUUGUUAUCCA